GGGAUUGUGGCUCAGCAGCAGAGUAUCUGUUUGGCACACAGAAGAUUCUGGGUUCAAUCCCCAGCAUUUCCA
rnacentral:tRNA from 1 species